rnacentral:tRNA from 1 species
GCGUCCGUAGCUCAGUUGGUUAGAGCACCACCUUGACAUGGUGGGGGUCGGUGGUUCGAAUCCACCCGGGUGCA